GAGUUUGAUCUUGGCUCAGGACGAACGCUGGCGGCGUGCUUAACACAUGCAAGUCGAACGAUGAACCGGUUUCGGCCGGGGAUUAGUGGCGAACGGGUGAGUAACACGUGGGCAAUCUGCCCUGCACUCUGGGACAAGCCCUGGAAACGGGGUCUAAUACCGGAUAUGACACGCUCCCGCAUGGGAUGUGUGUGGAAAGCUCCGGCGGUGCAGGAUGAGCCCGCGGCCUAUCAGCUUGUUGGUGGGGUGAUGGCCUACCAAGGCGACGACGGGUAGCCGGCCUGAGAGGGCGACCGGCCACACUGGGACUGAGACACGGCCCAGACUCCUACGGGAGGCAGCAGUGGGGAAUAUUGCACAAUGGGCGAAAGCCUGAUGCAGCGACGCCGCGUGAGGGAUGACGGCCUCGG
rnacentral:rRNA from 1 species